rnacentral:rRNA from 1 species
UACGUAGGGGGCAAGCGUUGUCCGGAAUCAUUGGGCGUAAAGAGCGUGUAGGUGGCUCGGUAAGUCCGCUGUGAAAGGCCAGGGCUCAACCCUGGAAAGCCGGUGGAAACUGUCGAGCUCGAGUCCGGAAGAGGCGAGUGGAAUUCCUGGUGUAGCGGUGAAAUGCGCAGAUAUCAGGAGGAACACCAAUGGCGAAGGCAGCUCGCUGGGACGGUACUGACACUGAGACGCGAAAGCGUGGGGAGCGAACCGG